GGUGGACCCUGCCAAGUGAAUAAAGGCUUGGGAUUGCGAAUCCUCCCCGCACGGUCGU
rnacentral:tRNA from 1 species